CUACGGGCCGCACCAGUGGGGAAUAUUGCACAAUGGGCGCAAGCCUGAUGCAGCCAUGCCGCGUGUAUGAAGAAGGCCUUCGGGUUGUAAAGUACUUUCAGCGGGGAGGAAGGGAGUAAAGUUAAUACCUUCGCUCAUUGACGUUACCCGCAGAAGAAGCACCGGCUAACUCCGUGCCAGCAGCCGCGGUAAUACGGAGGGUGCAAGCGUUAAUCGGAAUUACUGGGCGGAAAGCGCACGCAGGCGGUUUGUUAAGUCAGAUGUGAAAUCCCCGGGCUCAACCUGGGAACUGCAUCUGAUACUGGCAAGCUUGAGUCUCGUAGAGGGGGGUAGAAUUCCAGGUGUAGCGGUGAAAUGCGUAGAGGUCUGGAGGAAUACCGGUGGCGAAGGCGGCCCCCUGGACGAAGACUGACGCUCAGGUGCGAAAGCGUGGGGAGCAAACAGGAUUAGAUACCCUUGUAGUC
rnacentral:rRNA from 1 species